rnacentral:rRNA from 1 species
UACGGGGGGGGCAAGCGUUGUUCGGAAUUACUGGGCGUAAAGGGCGCGUAGGCGGCCUUCUAAGUCGGACGUGAAAUCCCUCGGCUUAACCGAGGAACUGCGUCCGAUACUGAAAGGCUUGAAUCCGGGAGAGGGAUGUGGAAUUCCAGGUGUAGCGGUGAAAUGCGUAGAUAUCUGGAGGAACACCGGUGGCGAAGGCGGCAUCCUGGACCGGCAUUGACGCUGAGGCGCGAAAGCUAGGGGAGCGAAUGGG